ACACCCCCGGAGUAGCUUGCUAUCUUUGCCGGCGAGCGGCGGACGGGUGAGUAAUGCCUAGGGAUCUGCCCAGUCGAGGGGGAUAACAGUUGGAAACGACUGCUAAUACCGCAUACGCCCUACGGGGGAAAGGAGGGGACCUUCGGGCCUUCCGCGAUUGGAUGAACCUAGGUGGGAUUAGCUAGUUGGUGAGGUAAUGGCUCACCAAGGCGACGAUCCCUAGCUGUUCUGAGAGGAUGAUCAGCCACACUGGGACUGAGACACGGCCCAGACUCCUACGGGAGGCAGCAGUGGGGAAUAUUGCACAAUGGGGGAAACCCUGAUGCAGCCAUGCCGCGUGUGUGAAGAAGGCCUUCGGGUUGUAAAGCACUUUCAGUAGGGAGGAAAGGUAACUGCUUAAUACGCUGUUGCUGUGACGUUACCUACAGAAGAAGGACCGGCUAACUCCGUGCCAGCAGCCGCGGUAAUACGGAGGGUCCGAGCGUUAAUCGGAAUUACUGGGCGUAAAGCGUGCGCAGGCGGUUUGUUAAGCGAGAUGUGAAAGCCCCGGGCUCAACCUGGGAAUUGCAUUUCGAACUGGCGAACUAGAGUCUUGUAGAGGGGGGUAGAAUUCCAGGUGUAGCGGUGAAAUGCGUAGAGAUCUGGAGGAAUACCGGUGGCGAAGGCGGCCCCCUGGACAAAGACUGACGCUCAGGCACGAAAGCGUGGGGAGCAAACAGGAUUAGAUACCCUGGUAGUCCACGCCGUAAACGAUGUCUACUCGGAGUUUGGUGUCUUGAACACUGGGCUCUCAAGCUAACGCAUUAAGUAGACCGCCUGGGGAGUACGGCCGCAAGGUUAAAACUCAAAUGAAUUGACGGGGGCCCGCACAAGCGGUGGAGCAUGUGGUUUAAUUCGAUGCAACGCGAAGAACCUUACCUACUCUUGACAUCCACGGAAUUCGCUAGAGAUAGCUUAGUGCCUUCGGGAACCCUGAGACAGGUGCUGCAUGGCUGUCGUCAGCUCGUGUUGUGAAAUGUUGGGUUAAGUCCCGCAACGAGCGCACUCCUAUCCUUAUUUUGCCAGCCACGUAAUGGUGGGAACUUCUAGGGAGAACUGCCGGGUGAAUAACCGGGAGGAG
rnacentral:rRNA from 1 species